UUGAAGAGUUUCUUGGCGUCAUCGAGUUCAGGAGACUUGAAGAGGGGCUUUUGGAGGUGGGUUCCAGGAGAGGCUGGAAGUUUGGUUUCCUGGGAAAGUUUGGAUAGUUUUUUCCUGGGAAAGUGAUGAGAUUUUUCAGAUGGAGAUGGGGAUACUGCGGGAAUUAGUGGAGACUUUUUCAUGUUUGAUGCUGUUGGGAGCUGAACGCAAUGAAAGUGGAACCUUUCCCAUUUCUGCUUUUCCUCCUUCUCCUUCUUUUC
rnacentral:misc_RNA from 1 species